UAUGAAUGUGUGCCAGCAGCCGCGGUAAAACGUAGGUCACAAGCGUUGUCCGGAAUUACUGGGUGUAAAGGGAGCGCAGGCGGGCGAUCAAGUUGGAAGUGAAAUCCAUGGGCUCAACCCAUGAACUGCUUUCAAAACUGAUUGUCUUGAGUAGUGCAGAGGUAGGCGGAAUUCCCGGUGUAGCGGUGGAAUGCGUAGAUAUCGGGAGGAACACCAGUGGCGAAGGCGGCCUACUGGGCACCAACUGACGCUGAGGCUCGAAAGUGUGGGUAGCAAACAGG
rnacentral:rRNA from 1 species